CAAACGUGUCCCUCCACCUGCUCUGCUCCUGCCUGGCCUCAUUGUUCACUGGAUUGGUGUUUCUUAAAAACAUAAAUCCACUGUGGUAUCCGUCCAGCACUGGAAUGUUCUAAAUGCAGAGAUAUUACUCGACUCAUUACCAGUGUGACCUUUCAGCAUUCCCUAUUCAGCAGGGGACAAAUCCCACGGUACUUUGUGUACAUAUUAUUGUGAAUACAAUGUGUACCAUGUCCAUAUUGGAGGAAAAAAUGCAUCCAGGUCCUGCUGUUCUGUUCCUUCUUAUAGGAGGACUACUGAAAUGGAAACAAAGAUCUCUGCUGGAAAAAAGCCAUUCUCUGUAUGUUUGAAGAAACUGCUUCUGGAUCUCUUAUAGUAGUGGAGCUGCUCACAAUACCAUAGUAACAGUGCUUUGCAGUUUCACUUUUGACAGCAUUUGAUUCUCUGCCAUAGCGGAUGUGGUUAAGAGGCUUGCUUGUGAUUUUUGAUUGAGCUCUAAACAGACAACAUGCAAGAUGAGGAAUGGGAUCCAGCCAGAAGAAAGUGAUUAACAAUGAAG